UGGGGUUCUAGCUCAGUGGUAGAGCCUUUGCCUGGCAUGCAGAGGCCCUGGUUUCCAUUCCCAAAGCUGCAA
rnacentral:tRNA from 1 species